rnacentral:rRNA from 1 species
CGGUGUUCAACUGGCGUGUCCGCGGGACGUCCUGCCGGUGGGCUUAGCCCGCAAGGGCGGCCCAACUUCAAAUCCCAUCGCGGUGCUCUUCACUGAGUGUCGAGGUGGGCCGGCACGUUUACUUUGAACAAAUUAGAGUGCUUAAAGCAGGUUAAAACUUCGCCUGAAUACUGUGUGCAUGGAAUAAUGGAAUAGGACCUCGGUUCUAUUUUGUUGGUUUUCGGAACCCCGAGGUAAUGAUUAAUAGAAACGGAUGGGGGCAUUCGUAUUGAAAUUCUUGGAUCGUCGCAAGACGGACAGAAGCGAAAGCAUUUGCCAAAAACGCUUUCAUUGAUCAAGAACGAAAGUUAGAGGUUCGAAGGCGAUCAGAUACCGCCCUAGUUCUAACCAUAAACGAUGCCAGCUAGCGAUCCGUCGACGUUCCUCCGAUGACUCGACGGGCAGCUUCCGGGAAACCAAAGCUUUUGGGUUCCGGGGGAAGUAUGGUUGCAAAGCUGAAACUUAAAGGAAUUGACGGAAGGGCACCACCAGGAGUGGAGCCUGCGGCUUAAUUUGACUCAACACGGGAAACCUCACCAGGCCCGGACACCGGAAGGAUUGACAGAUUGAGAGCUCUUUCUUAAUUCGGUGGGUGGUGGUGCAUGGCCGUUCUUAGUUGGUGGAGCGAUUUGUCUGGUUAAUUCCGAUAACGAACGAGACUCUAGCCUGCUAACUAGGCGUAUUUUCGACAUCUCAAAGGUCCGUCGUCCCGGCCCUCGGGUCGUGGGCGUGCGCGAUUUUUACUGUCGGCGUACUAUCAAUUCUUCUUAGAGGGACAGGUGGCUUCUAGCCGCUCGAGAUUGAGCAAUAACAGGUCUGUGAUG